rnacentral:lncRNA from 1 species
CUGCUGUCCUAUUGGAUGACUGAACUAAAUCCAAAUUCAACCCUCUGGGGGUACAAUCCCAGAAGGAAAGACAAUUUCAUCCUCAGCACCUUAAAGAGAAGUCUCACAUGUAUGCCCUUUAACAGUUAAGGGGCUUUCAAAUUAAGGGUCUGCAUCUCCCUGACCCACCGUUUAAACCUGUCUUCCUUUGUGAGCAACAUCAGCAUAAGUGAUGGAUUUACUGGAGCUCAGCACAUCUCCCACCUCCCCUAGCAGUUUAGUUGGCCCCCAAGUCAAAUCAGGUUAGAGCAAAAUCCUGGGCAAACUAGCCGUGCCUCAGGGCCUUGCCUGAUGAUCCAAUUCCAAAGCAGGGCCCAGUUCCAAAACUUUUGUUCCGAGUUUGAGAGACAUGGCUACAAUACAGUAGAAUACUGUUUGUGCCUUCUCUCUGACAAAGCCAAGGGCAGUGGGGGCCAGAGGCCAGUUUACUAGGACAACAAACCAGCUUCUCUUCUUUCCCUAAAGUAAAAGAGGAAAUGCCUUGGCAGCACCCGUAGGGAGAGGGAGUCCUGGGAAGAAACUGGCUGGUAUCUCUAUCUCUUCUCUUCCGUGUGUGAGGGUUUCUGUCUGGCCCUUCUAAUCUACAGAGUCCCCCAGGCCAGCUGGGCAGCUGCAUUCCAAGGACGAAGUGCCUCUUUGAAGUUGGAAGCUCUAGAUGUCUUGCCCUACGUCUUGCUAAAGCUCUGCAGAAUGAUCAAAAUAACUGAGACUUGAGCUGCCUUCCUUCCAGAAGAGGUUUCCUAGGGCAAGAUGACACACAGCCACAUUUUAUGAGUCCUCCAGACGAGCCAGUUGCAAGGCGGUUGCCAGGCCAAGUAAAAUCCAGAUGGUGUCCUCUGUAUUCCCAAGAAUUUUAUUAUCUCAGCGUUACUGCAUUAUUUACAACAUCAAUCUCAACGAAAACUACCUUCCACACAAGCAAGAACUAGCAAUGAAGAUUCUGAAAUGCCAUUCCAUAUCAGAACACUGGUCUGAGCAAAGAACGAAAUGCCCACUAAUGAUGGCACAGACUAAAAGAAGCUUCUUCCAUCUUUUCAAAAAGGCUGCCAGUAAAUUUGGUUGCAAACUCCACAUGGUAUGUGUUUGAUGUGGAAAAGGAGACAGGGAGGGGCAGCCCGGGUGGCUCAGCAGUUUAAAGCUGCCUUCAGUCCAGGGUGUGAUCCUAGAGACCCGGGAUCGAGUCCCACAUCGGACUCCCUGCAUGGAGCCUGCUUCUCCCUCUGCCUCUGUCUCUGCCUCUCUCUCUCUCUCUGUCUCUCAUGAAUAAAUAAAUAAAUAAAAUCUUAAAAAAAAGAAAA